GUCUUAGCUCAGUUGCUUAGAGCAUGAUGCUGAUAACGCCAAGCUUGUAGGUUCGAUCCCUAUGUGGGACA